UUGGACAAGUGCCGCCUCAUGCGUACGGGCGCACUAAUGAUGGGCAGUGCACUAAUAAUGGGCUUUCUUUUUCUAAUGGUGGGCAGCGCAUAAAUGGUGGGCUUUCUAGGCUGCCAGUUGGACAUUUUAAUAUUGGGCCUGGUAAUCCUAGGCGAAUGGACUUGAUUCUCUUAAUGGACUUGAUUUUUUUAAUAAGGCUUCUUCUGUUGGGCCAUUGGUUCCUGCUCCACCAAAUAGGCCGGUUUCAAUUUGUGGAGAUUUGGUAAUUCUUUGGGUCCUGAACGAGCUCGUCGGGCCUUGGGUGUAGCUAAUUUGUCCGGGCCAUCUAUUCUUUGGAGGACCAAGCAAAGAGCUCGUGUGUACACUAGGUACGACCCCUGUAUUGGACUUCCGCAUCUACUAGUCUUGCAUGUCUCUGAUGUUUCUAAUUCCACCGAGUCUCAAAUUAAUGCUACUCAAUUCGAUUCAGAAUAUGAAGUUACCAAGUCUUAUAUUCCUAUGCCUGUUGGAUCUAACUCUUGGUAUCCAGAUUCAAGGGUUACACAUCAUGUGUGUCAUGAUGCGUUGGCUUUACAUGACUCUACACCAUAUUCAGGACAUCGUGACUCAGGAAUUUUACUAAGGGGCCACAUUCGUGAUGGGUUCUAUCAUUUUUCUCUGCCAGUUAUGUCUGCUCAGUCUGUUGAAGCUUCGUCUACUACUCCUGUUGGACUCCAGAAUAAAGAUGACAGUGGUGAUAUUUUUUCUCUGUGGCACAAACGACUUGGUCAUCCCUUCGCUUCUCUUGUUAAGACUAUUCUAGAUAAAUGUAAAAUUGCUUAUGCUUAGUUUUGUCUUGAUAAUAUUUGUACUGCCUGUCAAAAGGGAAAAUCUCAUAAGUUGCCAUUUUCCAACUCUA